AGACAUUGAUCUGUGUGAUAUAGCUCCUCACAGCUAAGCUUGAGCUAUAUCUCUUUUCUGGAAUCACAGAGUGGCAGAGAAAACACCUGUCUUGGUGUAAGUACAGGGGUUUUUCCAGGCUUCCCCAGAUUAACCUGCCUCUUGGGUCAUAACCAGAGGAGUCUACAAACUUAAAUGGGCACUGAUGAAAAAAAUCUAUCUAUCUAUCUAUCUAUCUAUCUAUCUAUCUAUCUAUCUAUCUAUCUAUCUAUCUAUCUAUCUAUCUAUCUACCCACCUACCUACCUACCUAUUGAUUAAAGGCAAGUAAUUUCCCAAUUUCCUGUGGUGAAAUAAAAGAAAACAUGCUUUGAAGAAAACUUAAAAUAUCUAUAGUUAAACAAGGAUGAAAAAUCCUUAAAGUUGACCCAAAGUCUCUUUCUGAUUUCUGUAACCUCAGUGAAUGUCCUCAUAAUAUGUCCUCAAGAUUUACUUGCCUUAUUCUUUUCUGAUAAUCUUUUUGUUUCUUUAAAUCUUAUCUCAAAUAUUCAGCAGAAAACCUUCUAGGAGUGCACUUCAGCAAGAGUAUGGGUAAAAGCUUUGAUGCAAAUUUUCUAGUUAGCUACUGCAGCUGUAGCACAAUAAAUGCAUAUAUUCAACCCAAUAUAUAGAGUAGAUUUUUGAAUUUCUUAGUUGGCCAGUCAGAUGGACAAUUAACAGAUUGUUAACGGACAAAUUCAACAGUAACUUGAGAUCAUAACAGUACAUUUUGAGGGAUAUGAGGUGACAAUUGACUAGAUAUAAGUGAAAAAGAUAUUGAUCUCAGUGAAGUAGUAUAAUAGAUGCUUUUGUUCUCUGAAAUUAAAAUGGUUGGCACCUUCAAAAAGUAAUUUUCUAAUCCUUAUUAAAAAUUGCUUGUAGAAUUUUCAUGGAAAGCUUUGUUUAGUUCAGCUGAGGGAUCACAUGGUACAUUCUGUCAAAUGAAAUUGACAUUCAAAUGAAGGGGUACACACAGAUUAUUGUGGUACAUGUAUUUUUAUUUCUUCAAUAUGACAAAAAGGUAAUCUCCAAAUUCUUUUUCUGAACCUGUUUGAAAUCUGUUAUCAUCUUCCACAAUAACUUUCCCUUUUGAUUUUCCUCCAUGUAUCAUUGCUGUCCAACUGUUAGGGGUUUGUUGCAAUAAAUAUUUGUCUCAGUCAGCUUCUUUUCACUGCAUGUGUUCAUGUGUGUUUGCUAGAUAUCUCCUCAAGACCACUGAUGACGAUUUCUUUUUUUUUUUUUCUUGCAGGGCACAAGCAGAACUUGAAAGAAUGGAAGAGAUCAAAUAGAGACAGGAUUAAAUUUAGCAUUUUUGUGGAUGGUAACAUCCAGGAUGAUUGACAUUUACUAUGUCCAUGCACAGCUCCCAGGGGAAUCUACUUUUAACCAUAUGCUACUCUGUCUGCAAGUCCAGCAGUUAGAAAAAUAAACACUAUCAAGAAUCUCCACUUUCAAAGACCUUUCAAUAGUGACUCUGCUGAGUACUCUGUGACUUCUGCUCAAGAUAGAAAGAAGCUGCCAGCAUCAUGUGCAAGACCAGUGUUGUGCCAAAAGUCAAAAGCAUUAAAAAAAUAUAUAUUUGCAAAGGGAAUAUCCUACCUAUUCUCCACCUUCUUCUAUCUCCAUAUGGUAACUACUGCUUUUCCUGUUCAGGUACUAUCAUUUUAGACUUCAUUCAGAUUUCUUUUAGUACUUCAGUCCCCUAUUUUGUAAUGUACUCUUUUUCCCCCUAAUUAAAUAUUUUAUCACCCUUCUCAUCCCACUCUCAGGUAAUUCUUGCCUGCUUCAAUGAUCUUGACUUCUUUUCCCUUUAUGAGCAGCAGUAAACUUUUGUGACUGCUGUCAAUAAAAAUGGAAGACUUUAGGGUGAAAAGGUAGACCAAUCAUCAUGGUGUUUAUGCUCUAGCUAACUUUUUUUCUCCUUUAAAUAAACACCUCUUCCACAUCUGGUUAUGGAAGUUUCCUUUUAGGAAUUGGCAUAAAAUGAUGAAAAAACUGGCAUGCUUAAACAAAAAUUGCAACAGUACAAAAGUAAAAUGUGUGACUGGAGAAUAUUACUUCACUUGGUUUGGCUUUCACUUUCUUGGCUUUUUUCCACUCACCUGUUCAGUUUUGCAUAUUAAUCCCUUGGAUUUUUAAAACUGUAAACAGAGAAUCUUUAUCUGCAAGACUGAAGUAGAACUGACAAAAAGGAGAUAGCAAGUGGAUAGUGCUUUAUAUACUUGUUGAUGUACAAACUCAAGAAUCUUUAAGUCCUGAAAGAUGUACAUGUGUCCACUUAGCAGACACACAUAUCAGCAUCAAUUUAAGUUAGGAAACUGAGUUGUGAAAGUAAAUCAAUACCUUGUUAAUUCACUUAGUUUUAAAAAAAACCUGAAUGUGUCUAAGUCUAUGCAGAGGAUGCUUCUCUUGCUACUUGCUUUCAGUAGUUUUAAGAAUCUUUCAGAACUUUGACAAAUGUGUCAACACCAAAAGGUCAGCCAGCUUUAAGACUGGGUUCUUCCUUGAAUUUGGUCCAAGACUUUCCUUUAAAAUACAUACAAGCAACACAAAGUUUGCAUUCAACUAAAAACAAUACAAAAAUAAAUACUUAACAGAAUUUUAGAUCAGCAGCACAAACACUUUUUGAUAAACACUCCCUGCCAAGCAAACUUUUAUUUUAAACUGUAGCUUGGACUAAGCUUCCAUAAUCAUGGGGAUGGAACAGAGAUCUCAUUCAACUGAAAUACUUUCCAAAGGAGUUUUCCAAUAUAAAUAUUUAGGAGAGAGUACUUCUUUUGUCUGGUCUAUGUGUUUCUGCAAUGUGUUUAGCAAGAAGCAAAAGGUUAUUCAAAUAAAAAGCUAUAGCAUUUGAACAGGCAAUGAGAGAGGUCUUAAUGGCAACCUAGGCUAGGCUAGGAUACAGCACAGAUGCAUGAGGGAACAGAUGCAAGAGAGAAAGUGAAAAAUUCCAGAAAUGCUGUAAAAUAUGUACGUGAUAAAGAAAUCUCUGAAUAUUUAUAGUCUCCAUUAUGCUUCAGUUAAGAACAGUUUCUCCUUCCCAGGAAAAACUAUAAAGGUUGAAACAUUUUUUUAUAUUUUAAAGGGUUGUGCUAAAAUAUUGUUGUAAGAAAUUAUUAAAUGCUCAAGGCUAGGUAUUAUCCAUACACAGAAGUAGAAAUUAUAGACAGAACUUUGAAUUUGUAUAUUAUGAAUCUUAUAUUGCACAUUGCUGCUCAUGUAAGUCAAUAAAUGUCUAUGUCUCUUGACCUGGAAAUGUAGAAGUAGGCAAUUUUUGGUACGUGCUAUGAAAACCAUCCAACAAACCAUAUUAAACUGAACAGAAAAAUGCCCAUCACUAUAUCAACAGUAGUUAGGCACAGCACCAAUCCACCUGCUUGUGAUAACUUCUGGUCAUUUUUAGUGAGGCUGUUCUAGAAAAGGUAUCUCGCUGCCUGUCUCCGUGGAAGGUAUUCUAGCAAGCAAAGAUAGCACAUGCCAGCUCUAGGUCCCCACAGCACCUCCAUUUUCAUUGUCAAAUCUCAGGAUAUCAGGAAAUUAUGCAAAUAGCUUUGGGGAAAGGAAAAGGAAUGGGAAGCAGGGACACAGAAGGGAUUAGGAAGUUCAAUAUGAAUUAAUCCUGAUAUUUCCUACCUAGCUGGACAGAAAAUAAAGCUAAUGGAAAAAAUAUAAAAUGUAACUUUAGAUAAUUUUAGCAAUGGUAGAGAAUAUACGGUUGUGGACAGAAAAUAAAGCUAAUGGAAAAAAUAUAAAAUGUAACUUUAGAUAAUUUUAGCAAUGGUAGAGAAUUUACAGUUGUGGACAGAAAUACUCAGUUUGGUAUCACGCCUCAUGAUUCCCAGAGUAGAACAAUCACAUUUGAAGGACUAAAAGGGUAAAAUGUAACAUGAACAUUCAUCCUUAUGUAAGAGUUUGUUAUUUUCUGAUACUGUAUAUUUGAAAUGGUGUAAGCAGAGGACUACUCUCACCAGUAAUGUAGAAUUUGCUUCAAAACAUACCACUGCCACAAUACUAAAAAAUUGGUCAAUAAAGACAUAUUAGUUGA